GCAUUAAUGGGGUAGUGGUAACCUGGGUCGUUGCCAUAUUUAGGAAUUAACCACCAGUUUCGACCCGCCGGGGGUUCGAUUCCCUCUUAAUGCA